GGGCCCGCACAAGCAGCGGAGCAUGUGGUUUAAUUCGAAGCAACGCGAAGAACCUUACCAGGACUUGACAUCCACGGAAUCCUUAAGAGAUUAGGGAGUGCCCUUCGGGGAACCGUGAGACAGGUGGUGCAUGGUUGUCGUCAGCUCGUGUCGUGAGAUGUUGGGUUAAGUCCCGCAACGAGCGCAACCCCUGUUGCUAGUUGCCAUCAUUAAGUUGGGCACUCUAGCGAGACUGCCGAGGUUAACUCGGAGGAAGGUGGGGAUGACGUCAAAUCAUCAUGCCCUUUAUGUCCUGGGCUACACACGUGCUACAAUGGCUGGUACAGAGAGAAGCAAUACCGCGAGGUGGAGCAAAUCUUCAAAACCAGUCCCAGUUCGGAUUGCAGGCUGAAACCCGCCUGCAUGAAGCUGGAGUUGCUAGUAAUCGUGGAUCAGAAUGCCACGGUGAAUGCGUUCCCGGGCCUU
rnacentral:rRNA from 1 species